AGCAUAUCAAUAAGCGGAGGAAAAGAAACCAACAGGGAUUGCCCUAGUAACGGCGAGUGAAGCGGCAACAGCUCAAAUUUGAAAUCUGGCCCCAGGCCCGAAUUGUAAUUUGCAGAGGAUGCUUCUGGUAACGUGCCUUCGGAGUCCCCUGGAACGGGGCGCCAGAGAGGGUGAGAGCCCCGUAUCGUUGUGCACCGCGCCUUUGUGUAGCGCCUUCGACGAGUCGAGUAGUUUGGGAAUGCUGCUCAAAAUGGGAGGUAAACUUCUUCUAAAGCUAAAUACCGGCCAGAGACCGAUAGCGCACAAGUAGAGUGAUCGAAAGAUGAAAAGCACUUUGAAAAGAGGGUUAAACAGUACGUGAAACAAUUGAAAAGGAAGCACUUGGGAUCAGACUGGGACUUUGCCUUCCCUCCGCGUUCUCGCGGGGGUAUUUGGUGGGUUCUGGCCAGCGUCGGUUUUUCCAGAGGGAUAAAAGUAUGGGGAACGUAGCUCUUUCGGGAGUGUUAUAGCCCUGUGCACAAUGCCUUUGGGGGGACCGAGGUUCGCGCUCUGCAAGGACGCUGGCGUAAUGGUCCUUAGUGGCCCGUC
rnacentral:rRNA from 1 species